rnacentral:rRNA from 1 species
CCUACGGGAGGCAGCAGUGAGGAAUAUUGGUCAAUGGGCGAGAGCCUGAACCAGCCAAGUCGCGUGAGGGAGUACUGCCCUAUGGGUUGUAAACCUCUUUUGUCGGGGAGCAAAAGCCGGACGUGUCCGGCUGUGAGAGUACCCGAAGAAAAAGCAUCGGCUAACUCCGUGCCAGCAGCCGCGGUAAUACGGAGGAUGCGAGCGGUAUGCGGAUUUAUUGGGUUUAAAGGGUGCGCAGGCGGAUUUUUAAGUCAGCGGUCAAAUCGUGGGGCUCAACCCCAUCCAGCCGUUGAGACUGAGGGUCUAGAGUGUUCGAUAGGUAUGCGUCAUGCGGUGUGUAGCGGUGAAAUGCCUAGAUCUCACGCAGCACCCCGCUUGCUACGGCAGCAUACCGGUGCACAACUGACGCUCAGGCACGAAAGCGUGGGUAUCGAACAGGAUUAGAUACCCGUGUAGUC